UCCCUGCUUUAUCACUUGUAAAACACAGCAAAAUAUUGAUCUUCUGAUAAAAAGGACUCUGAUUGAGAAAUGUUUUAGUUACAAAGAGGAAACUUUUCUGCUCUGAGCAGUGGUGUCCUUUCACCUCCAGCUUCACCAUACCCCAGCUUUAGGACAUGGGUGCUGGUUCUCCACAAACUUCCUGUGAUGUUUUCCAUGUGUAUCAUCUCCCUUUUGUGCUUGAGAGAGAGAGAGCAGCUGCUGUUGUCUGCAUGGCCAUGCCAGGAGCCUUUUGCUGCGUGCAUGAGGCAUCAGUUACUGUUGGGAAGCUGUUUCCUGCUGUUGGCAGUGGGAGGGCAGACUUCUCUGAUAGCUGCCUUAACCCACAUGUCCAAAAGCAAAGCCAGGGGAAGAGAUUUCCUGCCAUCCUGCAGGACAUGCAGGUUAUGGUGCUUUGAAAACCCCAGACUUGGGUUUCAAGGCUGGGAAAUACCUGGUUAAGAUACAACAGUAGCCACGGGGAGUGGAGCCAGGGGAGAAGUUCAACAUCUCCUGACCUAGUUUCUCUGCACCCCCUGCAGCAUCCAGCAUGGGGCAUCCUACAGCUGCCAUUGAGCUUUUUUUUUCCCCUUCUGCCAGCAAGGUGUGGGCAAAACACUUCCACCCUCCUGGAUUUGAGGUGUGAGAAGGAUUUCUGGACUUGGCUUUGCAUGGGUUUGCUUGCAGGGCUCCCUGGGGCUGUUGGCUGCAGGGCAGGGACUGUGCAGUGUUGGCUGGUGUGGGGGCUUCUUCACCACUGCUUCUUGACCAGGCUCUAUUUCCUACCUCUGAUUUUUCACUUCUGUCUCCAAAGAGGGUUAUUGAUGAGCAUUUCUCCAAGGCAUCACCUCACCCAGUGGUACCCAGUAGUAUUCCAUGCAGGCAAAAGCAGGAAUGAGUGGUUCCCCGAGGUCCUUCCUGCCCAAGGAUAUUCCUUUCUUCCUCAAACACCCUUGGUUUGCCCUGAUGCCUCCUGAGGGUGUUCCUGGUAUGUGGGUUUGGCACCUUGGUCCUCCUAAGCCUUUGCUUGGGACAGAUUUCUGCAGAUGUUUCCAUAUAAUUCAUCUGCCUUUGAGUGUCCAAAGCCAGUCCCAAUACCCAGCCAAGCAGCUGCCAGUCUUACAGACCUGCACUUUUAACUUACUAGUUGAGUUCUAUCUCUCAGGUUUAUUAAUUGAUUAAAUUCAGCUACUCCCUUCCUCAUUAAUUGAGCCCUGGCUGGGCAGAAAGCCAUUGAUUUUCUUACAUAUUGGUGUACAACUGGCUUCCUUCCAACCCUGUGUAAUUGUCCCUGUGCUCAAAGCUAUUAGGUGUUGGACUCAGUGAACCUUGUGGGUCCCUUCCAGCUCAGGACAUUCUGUGAUUCAAGGCAAUGCAGGGUUCAGUCACUGUUUGCACAUCGGUGUGACUGUUUUAUCUGUGACUUUUGAUAAGUGCCUUUAUCAAAAAAAUGAAAGCAUUGGUUUGUUCCUUUCUAUCCAGUGGAAAUUUUGCUGGAUAUGUUUGGGGUAGGGAAGAGAAAAGGGUUGCACCUGCUCUCAAUACAGCAAUCUUGGAAGAACUUGCUCCCUGUACGAGACCAAAACUUGAAACUUCUGCAUCUCUGAUAACCAACCCUGUUGGGGAACUGGGCGGUUUCAGGGCUGUAUCUCCCUCCCUGCACCUGUAUCUCUGAUUCCUGACUUUCACCAUCUGUGCCCUGUCUGUUCUGCCAUGCCUUUUGCUCCUCUGAUACCUACUAAUCGUGGUGGCUUGCUUAAAAGAGAAGAAACUCGUGUGGGGGUAGUGUUAGCCCAGAGCACGAGCAGCUGGUGUGUCCCUGCCCAGGGGUCCUGGCAGGCAGCGUGGCCAGGCUGGUGGCAGCCUCUGCAGCUGCCCUUUGUCCCCAGCACCAAUCAGCAAAGGCAGGACCCUGCAUUCCAGCACCACAGGCUGCGCGCUCCUGGGUAAGUGUUCAUGCUGUCAUUACAUUUGUGCCCUCAAAAGCUGCUUUCUUGGGGUCCAAGCUGCAGAUCCUGAAGCUCUUCUGCUUUUCUUCUGAUAUAGGACAGACAUGAUGCUGCCAGAGGUUUCCAUUUGGAUUUCAGUGAGCUCAAAGCUUGCAGCAGAGAAACAUCUGACCCUCCUGGAUGAGCUCUUUCUCCAUCAGUGCACUCACAAAAGCUGAGCAAAACCACGAACCACAAGGAUGUACUGGGGAUGCUGUUCGAGGUAAAAGAGGUCACAGACCUGGGGAGCUGGUGCUGCUGCUCUUUGGUUGGAAUUGCAGCUCUGGUUGAAUCUGCAAAGCUGGAGGGUCCCAAAACAAGGCAAGUGGUGCUGCUCAGCAGGAUGGGUUUUUGUAGCACGAGAAGGGCUGCAGUGCAUACGAAGCCGUGGUGUCUGGCACUGCCCAGAGUCCCUUUCCAUUGCUCCUGGAUGGCUGGUUCUGCAUGAGGAGUCAGAGGUGAAUGGACAGUUCUCAGCAUUGGAGGGAUUCCUUUUCACACUGGUGUAUUUUAACCCAGGUAAGCUGUUGCACUGUGAGUAUUUUAUGCUGUUUGUUUGCCCAGCGGUGGACUUUGUUAGGCUGCACUUUUGGCUUUCAUAAUAAAUAAUAAUAAAUGUGAUUUAAAGCAAACCAAUUCAGUCUCCUCUCUCUUUUUUUUUU